rnacentral:rRNA from 1 species
CAUGCAAGUCGAACGAGGAUAUAUCCUUCGGGAUAUAAGCCGAGUGGCGCAAGGGUGAGUAAUGCAUAGAUUACCUGCCUCUAGGAUAAGGACAACUUUGUGAAAACGAAGCUAAUACUUAAUAAUACAAAAGAAAAUAAUUUUCUUUUGUCAAUGGGAGGGUAGCAAUACCUUUUGCCUAGAGAGGGGUUUAUGUCCUAUCAGCUUGUUGGUGGGGUAAUGGCCUACCAAGGCGAAGACGGGUAGCCGGUCUUAGAGGAUGGUCGGCCACACUGGGACUGAGACACUGCCCAGACUUCUACGGAAGGCUGCAGUCGAGAAUCUUUCGCAAUGCCCGAAAGGGUGACGAAGCGACGCCGCGUGAGUGAGGAAGGCCUUAGGGUUGUAAAGCUCUGUCAGGAGUUAAGAAAUAUAAGUGUGCUAAUACCACGUUUAUUUGACGAAGGCUCCAAAGGAAGCCACGGCUAACUCUGUGCCAGCAGCCGCGGUAAUACAGAGGUGGCAAGCGUUGUUCGGAAUUAUUGGGCGUAAAGAGCACGUAGGUGGGUUUGUAAGUCAGAUGUGAAAGCCUUCUGUUCAACGGAAGAAUUGCAUCUGAAACUGCAAGUCUUGAGUGUAGGAGGGGAGAAUGGAACUUCUGGUGGAGCGGUGAAAUGCGUAGAUAUCAGAAGGAACGCCGGCGGCGAAAGCGAUUCUCUGGCCUAUUACUGACGCUCAGUGUGCGAAAGCUAGGGGAGCAAACGGGAUUAGAUACCCCGGUAGUCCUAGCCGUAAACGAUGGGCACUAAGUAGAGGGAAUUACCGAUGUUCUCUCUGCCGUAGCUAACGCAUUAAGUGCCCCGCCUGGGGAGUACGGCCGCAAGGCUAAAACUCAAAAGAAUUGACGGGGGCUCGCACAAGCGGUGGAGCAUGUGGCUUAAUUCGAUGCAACGCGAAAAACCUUACCGGGGCUUGACAUGGUAGAAGUAGGAACCCGAAAGGGUAACGAACGGUAUCCAGUCCAUAGCUAUCACAGGUGUUGCAUGGCUGUCGUCAGCUCGUGUCGUGAGAUGUUGGGUUAAGUCCCCUAACGAGCGAAACCCUUGUUUUUAGUUACCAGCGGGUUAUGCCGGGUACUCUAGAAAGACUGCCGUCGUCAAGACGGAGGAAGGUGGGGAUGACGUCAAGUCAUCAUGGCCCUUAUGCCCCGGGCUGCACACGUGCUACAAUGGUCGGUACAAACGGAAGCGAAGCCGAGAGGUGAAGCGAAUCCUAAAAAGCCGAUCUCAGUUCGGAUUGGAGGCUGAAAUUCGCCUCCAUGAAGUUGGAAUCGCUAGUAAUCGCGGAUCAGCAAUGCCGCGGUGAAUAUGUUCCCGAGCCUUGUACACACCGCCCGUCAAGCCACCCAAGCAGGAUGCACCCGAAAACAUUAUAUCUAACCAGGGCAACUUGGAGGAAAGUGUUGAAGGAGUGUUUUGUGAGGAGGACUAAGUCGUAACAAGGUAGUCGUAGGAGAACCUGCGGCUGGAUCACCUCCUU